UUAUAUAUAUACAGUACGAUAUAUAUUGGCGACAUUUAAUUUCCCCACUCACGGAAUACAAUCGACAAACUGGGAACAGAAUAUCAAAUUUCGUCUAGCUUUUGGCGACUUAUGAUACCCCUUUCACCGGCAAACACUGAAUUAUCGGACAACAUGAAAUCAGGGACUAAAUUCACCAGCAUUCAUGAUCCUCGGACCACCCGCCCCCUACGCACAGCCGAUUUAUAAAUGUUGCAUCUUUCAAUCAGUGUCAAUCCCAAGAAGAACCCUGAUCAGCUCCUGGAAAAAUCAGUGUUCUUGCAGUAUUGUCAGUCAAAUCUCAAGGAAAGGAUCCCAGAAGAGGAACAUUUACAUUAUUUCAGACUUUUUUCUUUCCUGUGUAACAAUGCCUCAAACAGCUAACACAUUUUAUAUAGUAUACAAUACAAUGUGUAUUAAUAACAGUCCAGUUAGAGUGCUGUGUUAUGCAGUAAAAAUACUUAAUUCUUGAUGACAUGUUGGUUUUAUGUUUACAUUAAACGGUAGUUAUAAUAUAUACUAAAGAAACAUAGUGGAUAAUGCCUUGUACAGGAGCAGGAGUAUGACAGUGUAAUAGUACAUGACUGCUGCGUUCAUCCAUGGAAGGAGUCUGUUAUUCGAAAUAAAGCUUUCCAUGAGGACGAAAAA